GAUGAAGAACGCAGUGAAAUGCGAUAAGUAAUGUGAAUUGCAGAAUUCAGUGAAUCAUCGAAUCUUUGAACGCACAUUGCGCCCCUUGGUAUUCCGAGGGGCAUGCCUGUUCGAGCGUCAUUAUAACCCCUCAAGCUCAGCUUGGUGUUGGGGCCUGCUGCACUGGCAGCCCUUAAAAUCAGUGGCGGCGCCACCUGGCUCUAAGCGUAGUAAUUCUUCUCGCUAUGGAGUCCUGGUGGAUGCUUGCCAUCAACCCCCAAUUUUUCUAUGGUUGACCUCGGAUCAGGUAGGGAUACCCGCUGAACUUAAGCAUAUCAAUAAGCGGAGGA
rnacentral:misc_RNA from 1 species